rnacentral:rRNA from 1 species
UACGAAGGGGGGCUAGCGUUGCUCGGAAUCACUGGGCGUAAAGCGCACGUAGGCGGCUUUUUAAGUCAGGGGUGAAAUCCUGGAGCUCAACUCCAGAACUGCCUUUGAUACUGAGAGCUUGAGUCCGGGAGAGGUGAGUGGAACUGCGAGUGUAGAGGUGAAAUUCGUAGAUAUCGCAAGAACACCAGUGGCGAAGGCGGCUCACUGGCCCGGUACUGACGCUGAGGUGCGAAAGCGUGGGGAGCAAACAGG